rnacentral:rRNA from 1 species
GACGAACCGUCCUAACGUUAUUCGGAUUCACUGGGCUUAAAGGGCGCGUAGGCGGACGAGCAAGUCCGGGGUGAAAUCUUUCGGCUUAACCGGAAAAGUGCCUUGGAUACUGCUGGUCUUGAGGGAGGUAGGGGCAUGUGGAACUUCCGGUGGAGCGGUGAAAUGCGUUGAUAUCGGAAGGAACGCCGGUGGCGAAAGCGACGUGCUGGCCCUCUUCUGACGCUGAGGCGCGAAAGCUAGGGGAGCAAACGGG